UGCUUAGAGCUCCUAGACCUUGUAAUCGUUGCUGAUAUUGAGGACAGACGCCAAAUUUAAUCGAGAUGGUAUCAUUUCCUGUGUUAUGCGUAUUCUGCCUUGUGUCAGGCAUUAUCGCUCACAAUGCGUCCUCCAGCUGCAAGUCUAGCGGCUAUGAAUGCAAGCUGAAGCUUUUCUGCCCGAAGCAAGACAGGGUACAUCUAAAAGGCUGUUGGUUUUGGAGUACGUGCUGCAAAACAAAGAAAUCGAAAACCUGUUCGUCGAUUCACGGCAAAUGCCAACAUCACUCUGAAAAAUGCGCCGGACUUGUGAACGGGAACAUAAAAUGCGAAAAAGGCCAGAAGUGUUGUGUCCCCGUUUUGCACUAGUGACCUUUGGAAACUGCAAAUACGCCGUUUUUUCUGCUGGCUUCAUGGAAGCGACUUACCCGGCGUUUUCCUCAUGGUAUUAUUAACAGAAUAUUUCAGAAAUAAAGCUUCCCAUAUUCGGU
rnacentral:lncRNA from 1 species